AUUGAACGCUGGCGGCAGGCCUAACACAUGCAAGUCGAGCGGAUGAAGGGAGCUUGCUCCUGGAUUCAGCGGCGGACGGGUGAGUAAUGCCUAGGAAUCUGCCUGGUAGUGGGGGAUAACGUCCGGAAACGGGCGCUAAUACCGCAUACGUCCUGAGGGAGAAAGUGGGGGAUCUUCGGACCUCACGCUAUCAGAUGAGCCUAGGUCGGAUUAGCUAGUUGGUGGGGUAAAGGCCUACCAAGGCGACGAUCCGUAACUGGUCUGAGAGGAUGAUCAGUCACACUGGAACUGAGACACGGUCCAGACUCCUACGGGAGGCAGCAGUGGGGAAUACUGGACAAUGGGCGAAAGCCUGAUCCAGCCAUGCCGCGUGUGUGAAGAAGGUCUUCGGAUUGUAAAGCACUUUAAGUUGGGAGGAAGGGCAGUAAGUUAAUACCUUGCUGUUUGGACGUUACCAACAGAAUAAGCACCGGCUAACUUCGU
rnacentral:rRNA from 1 species